GGAGGCUUAGCUCAGCUGGGAGAGCAUUUGCAUCACAUGCAAGGGGUCGCAGGUUCGAACCCUGCAGUCUCCA
rnacentral:tRNA from 1 species